UCCUGGAUUCAGCGGCGGACGGGUGAGUAAUGCCUAGGAAUCUGCCUGGUAGUGGGGGAUAACGUCCGGAAACGGGCGCUAAUACCGCAUACGUCCUGAGGGAGAAAGUGGGGGAUCUUCGGACCUCACGCUAUCAGAUGAGCCUAGGUCGGAUUAGCUAGUUGGUGGGGUAAAGGCCUACCAAGGCGACGAUCCGUAACUGGUCUGAGAGGAUGAUCAGUCACACUGGAACUGAGACACGGUCCAGACUCCUACGGGAGGCAGCAGUGGGGAAUAUUGGACAAUGGGCGAAAGCCUGAUCCAGCCAUGCCGCGUGUGUGAAGAAGGUCUUCGGAUUGUAAAGCACUUUAAGUUGGGAGGAAGGGCAGUAAGUUAAUACCUUGCUGUUUUGACGUUACCAACAGAAUAAGCACCGGCUAACUUCGUGCCAGCAGCCGCGGUAAUACGAAGGGUGCAAGCGUUAAUCGGAAUUACUGGGCGUAAAGCGCGCGUAGGUGGUUCAGCAAGUUGGAUGUGAAAUCCCCGGGCUCAACCUGGGAACUGCAUCCAAAACUACUGAGCUAGAGUACGGUAGAGGGUGGUGGAAUUUCCUGUGUAGCGGU
rnacentral:rRNA from 1 species